rnacentral:rRNA from 1 species
UAUUAUGCGGCAGCCUGUACAUUAAAAUUCAACAAUCGGACGUAUUAAAUACGAAAUUUUAUACGUUAAAAUUUAAGUAUAAAUUUCCGAAUCGGGAAACCGGCUUGUAAAAAAAUAGAUUUAUUUAUUAUAAAACGUAUGUGGUUAUAAUAAAAUAAAUUAACUUGUUAGUGAAUUGAAUCAUCUAAGUAACUAAUAUAAGCUAAACCAACCGGGAACAGUGUUAGUAGUGGCGAGCGAAAACAUUAAAGACUUGUUUAAAAUUUUAAAAUAAAACUUUGUUUAAAAAUACCGUAGAAGGUUAUUAAGUUAAUUAGUAAGUCCUGUAAAACAAAAGUUUUAAAAAAAUUAAAAAAGUAAAAUGAUCUAAGUCAUAGUUUGUUUAAAUAUUGUGGACCCACCCACAAAGUCUAAUAAAAUUUUAAUGAUAGAUAGUGAAUAAGUACCGUAAGGGAAAGGCGAAAAAAUUAUAUUAUUAUAAGUAUAAAACAUAAUACUAUUACCAGUUGAAGCUUUAAAAUAUAGUGACAGCGUACCUUUUGUAUAAUGUGUCAAUGAGUUUAUUUUUAAAGGCAAGCUUAAAAUUAAGAUAAUGUAGGCUAAAAGAAAUUAAGUUUUAAAAUGCUUUAAAGUCUUUAAAAUAAGACCCGAAACUAAGUGAUCUAGUUAUGAACAGGUUGAAUUUAAAGCGGUAACGCUUAUUGGAGGACCGAACCCGUGUAUGUUGCAAAAUACUGGGACGAUUUGUAAUUAGGGGUGAAAGGCCAAUCAAACUUAGAGAUAGCUGGUUUUCUGCGAAAUCUAUUUAAGUAGAGCGUUUAAUUUAAAUUACCUUUAGUUUGAGGUAGAGCACUUUUUAAUUAAGAGAAGUUAACUAACUUUAUCAAAAUUAACUAAACUCCGAAUGCAAGCUAAAAGAAAUUAAGCAGUCAAACAUAGAAUGCGAAGAUUAUAUGUUAAAAGGGAAACAGCCCAGAUUAUUCGUUAAGGUCCUUAAAAAUAAUUAAGUGAAAAAGAUGCUAAAAAUAUUAAAUACUCGGGAGAUAGGCUUGGAAGCAGCCAAUCUUUAAAGAAAGCGUAACAGCUCACUGAGUCAGCUUUUUUGUGUCGAAUAAUGUAAUGGGACUAAAAUUAUUUACCGAAACGAUAAAAUUUUUAACUUUCAUUUUUAGUACAUUAAUCUGUACUUUGAUGGUUAAUUAAUUGGUAGCAGAACGUUCUGUAUAAUUCUAAAACUUUAUGGCAGCAUAAAGUGUAAAUAUCAGAAGUGUAUAUAUUGAUAUGAGUAGUAAUAAACAAUGUGUUUAAAAACAUUGUCGUCUAUAAUCUAAGGUUUCCAAAAAAAGGUUAAUCCGUUUUGGUUAAAAGAAAUAAAUCGGUCCCUAAAAUUAUACGAAAGUUUUUUUUGAUGGGUAUUGUUGUUUAAAAUUCAAAUUAACAAUAAAAACAAUGUGACAAAGUAUUAAAAAUUUUUUUAUAUUUAUGGUUUUAUACAUUAAUUUUUGAUAUUUUCAAGAAAAAGCAUGUUUUUUACUAAACCGUACUAAAACCGACACAGGUAGAUAAAUUAAGUAAAUUAAGACGUUUGAAAUAAUUGCAUUGAAGGAACUCGGCAAAAUGACUCCGUAACUUAGGAAGAAGGAGUAGCUUUUAUAAAAAGCUGACACAUAAUCGGGGACAGCGACUGUUUAAUAAAAACACAGGUUUCUGCAAAUUUGUAAAAAGAUGUAUAGAGACUGACGCCUGCCCAGUGCUGAAAGAUUAAAGAUAAUAGUUUUAGCUAAAGUCUUAACUCCCAGUAAACGGCGGCUGUAACUCUGACGGUCCGAAGGUAGCGAAAUUCCUUGGCAUUUAAUUGGUGUCCCGCACGAAUGGCGUAACGACUGUCCUACUGUCUCCAGUGCAACUUCAAUGAAAUUGAAUUCUCUGUGAAGAUGCAGAGUAUCUACGGCUAGACGGAAAGACCCCGUGCACCUUUACUAUAGUUAUAUAUUGUACUAAAAAUUUUUAUAUGUAGAAUAGGUGGAAAGUUGUUAGUAGAUUGUUACGCAAGUAAUCUGUUUAUAACAAAAAUUGAAAUACCACUUUUAAAUCUUUUUAGUACUCACUUAUUAGGAUAGUAUAUAAUGGAUAGUUUGACUGGGGCGGUCGCCUCCUAAAAAGUAACGGAGGUGUACAUAUGGUAAGUUUAUGUUGAAAUAUUCAACAAAAAUGCAUAAUAGCAAAUACUUGCUUGACUGUUAGAUAUAUAUAUCAAGCAGAGACGAAAGUCGGUUAUAAUGAUCCGGUGAUUCUGUGUGGAAAAGGUCAUCGCUCAACAGAUAAAAGGUACGCCGGGGAUAACAGGCUAAUUAUCCUCUAGAGACCCUAUCGACGGGAUAGUUUGGCACCUCGAUGUUGGAUUAUCGCAUCCUGGAGCUGUAAGCGGUUCCAAGGGUUUGGCUGUUCGCCAAGGAAGGCGGUACAUGAUCUGAGUUUAGAACGUCGUGAGACAGUUUGGUCCCUAUCUACCGUAGACGAGAAAAUUUAAAAGGAGUAAACCAUAGUACGAGAGGACCUGGAAAAAUGAAUCUCUUGUGUAUCGGUUGUUUUACCAAAGGCAUCGCCGAGUAGCUACAUUCAUAAUAAAUAAUCGCUGAAAGCAUUUAAGCGAGAAAUUAUCCUUUAAUUGUUUUCAAAAAAAGUGUAAUAGAAUAUUACGUAAUAGGCUUGAUGUGUAAGAUUUGCAAAAAUUUUAGCUAACAAGUACUAAAAAUUUUUAUAAAAAGCUUUAUAUGUA